rnacentral:rRNA from 1 species
AAGUUUUAGAACCACUUACUUACUUCCUCAUCUUCGUAAGACUACCCGCUGAACUUAAGCAUAUCAAUAAGCGGAGGAAAAGAAACCAACAGGGAUUGCCUCAGUAACGGCGAGUGAAGCGGCAAAAGCUCAAAUUUGAAAUCCUUCGGGAAUUGUAUUUUGAAGGUGGGUUUGGUUAGGAAAAGUUACUUUAAGUCCAUUGGAAAAGGCGCCAUGGAGGGUGAUAGCCCCGUAAAAGUAUCCCUUUUCCUUUUAUCCAUUCCCUCCAAAGAGUCGAGUUGUUUGGGAAUGCAGCUCUAAGUGGGUGGUAAAUUCCAUCUAAAGCUAAAUAUUGGCGAGAGACCGAUAGCGAACAAGUACAGUGAUGGAAAGAUGAAAAGCACUUUGAAAAGAGAGUGAAAAAGUACGUGAAAUUGUUGAAAGGGAAGGGCUUGCAAGCAGACACAACCUCGGUUGGGCCAGCAUCGGAGUGGGGGGAGACAAAAAAGAAAAGGAAUGUAACUCUUUCGAGUAUUAUAGCCUUUUUCUCAUAUCUCCACCCCCUUCCGAGGCCUGCGAU